rnacentral:lncRNA from 1 species
AUCUGUACAGUGUAAGGGCAACUAUGUAAACAUCCGGGGUAAAUAUUAGCCCUUCAUUACGUAGAAGAGUAAAUUUACUCGAGAGUGGGAAAUUAUUCGAUUAAAAGGAGGUUUCUAAAUUACGAGCUGUCCCUGAACGCAGCAGGCAGGAAGGUGGGUUUUUCCUCCUUUUUUUCCCUGUUUUGGGGAGGGGGCUCCGAGCAUUUCCUUUUUCCAUUUAUAAUCACGCAGAGGAGCAACAAUCAGGGCUGCUUUGGGCAAAUGAGCCGACAUUAAAGGGGAUUUAUCAGCCGCGGGAUCCGCCAGAAAGCGCAAAAGUCGCGGAUGAGCGCCGAGGACGCGCAGCCGGAGCGGAAAUCACAGCCUGAAAGCCUCGUCUGGAUCCAGGAUCUAAACUUUUUUGGGUUGUUUUUUUGGACGUGUUUUCUCUCCGGACAGCAGGAGCAGUCAGGAGGCUCAUGAUGGGAAGCAUUUCCUGAGGAAAUGUUAGCGCUUUUCCCCUUUCCAGUUGAUGCCAAAAGUUUUUGACAAUGUGAAAAGUUGAGGGAAACUUCUUCAUCUUUGCGCAUCUAAAGUUUUCCAGAUGUCUCUCAUGAUGCAACAAGCGACUGUCUAAUGAAACACAUUCACACCCAGAGGAGUGACUUUUUUUUAAAAAGAUUUUUUUGUGUUGGAUUUAAUCUACAAGAAGGAUUUUCCCAGAUUUCUUUUUUUUUGGAAUGAUGGGAAUUUAGGAGUUUUUGCUUCUCCGAGAGGAAAUAAGACGUCAGGAUGAAAAAUGAGGAAGAAUAAAGAUUGUAGGAACUGUCAAACUCUGUGAGGAAAAUGUUUUUUGGGUGAAUUUCUGAAACUUACAAGGGAAUCCCAAUGAGUGUCUCAAAGGCAACACUCACUGACAGGACUCCAAACAUCCUCAACAAGGAGCUCACAGACAAGAAACCAAAAAGAGACAUCUCCGCCAUCUCCCUCAAACACGAGUUUGACCCAACAGGUGAGUCGCGCACCGCUUUGUUUCAGCUCCUUGACCUUAAUAAAGCUUGACUUUUUGAAUGAUGCCGUCGUCCUCACCUCACACAGAAGCUGCUGCAGGAGUA